GUUCUGCUUUAACUUUGUUUUUAGAUGCUUUUUAGGAAUUUUUUUAAGUAUGUUAAUUUCAUUCCAGUUUUUAGUUUGGCUGUGAACACUAUAAUAUCAAGGCUUACAGUUCCCCUUUUGCAAGUUAGCAAAAUACAUGUAUAAUUAUCACUCGUUCAAUUUCCCAAUAUUAUCAUCAGAAAAUCUGGUCGCUGUCUGUGGUUCCUAUUCACUGCUGAAGUUGUAACAGUACAUGGAAGAAAGUAGACUGGUUUGGCUUAAUAAAAUACGUAAAGCAUUAAUUGCAGUAGAUAUCCUGCCCCCCUAUAAGAAAAGGAAAAUUUAUAGAAUAGUUCUUAUUUAUAGAGCUGUUGUAACAACACAUGGAAGAGAAUGGCUUAGGUUCCUUUAUACAUUUUUAUUUUGGGUUCAGUUCCCAAAAAGGGGUUGGCCAUUAAGCGAACGGCUGGUUUAGUUUAACAAGUUAUGUCAAGCUAUUAAGAUUGGCUGCAGAACUUACUCUACCUUAGAAGAUAGGAAGAGAAGUCAUAGAUUCAUUUUUUUUUCCUUCAUCUUUGGAAGCUUACGGUGGAUAAGCAGUGGGAACACUUUCAGCAUGAUGACGCUUGUACUUUCCACUAGAUUAGUCUUUUAUCUGCUCUAACAAUUUUUUUUUUCUGACAUGCCCAUUGUAUGUGAAGUGUAAAUCGAUAUUGUUUUGGCAAUAAAAUAUAAACUAAACUAAUUGCAUGGGCAAAGAGAUGUUUACCUUGCACAAAGAGCUCAGACCUACUAUCUCUUCCCUUGAGGACCACUUCGGGUUAGUAAGAGAAAUCCUGAUCUAGUUUCAAAUUCCUUGUCUUCAAUGGAAACUCUAGAUGUUCUCUUUAUUAGCUUCAGCGUAAUGUGUAUCUAUAAGUCAACCAGUUUUCUGCCUUUAGCAUUGAUCUGGCACUGUGCUUUCAUAUCCUUGCCAUACAGGUUAGUUACUAACCAACAAAAAAUGGUUUUCGCAAUAAUUUUUUUCUUAGAAUUUGAAGUGUUAUCAUUUGUAGUAAAGAGAAUUAGUCCACUCCCAUGAUAAUCCUACUUUUGAAGUUCCAAACAUAGUUCAAUAUGUAUGCUAAUCAGCUCUCUUAAUUACAACAAAUGGUCUGGGGUUCACUACAGAAGUCUAGAAAUAAACAAUUAGCCCAUAUAACAUACCAAAAUAUACUAGGCACAUCUGAUACUAGGAACCAAGAAAAACAUUAUCCCCUCCUCUCUGUCUUUCGUGGAUGAGUCUGGAAUUAUGCAGGAGAAGUUCUUGAUCAUUACUAAUGUACAAAAACAAAACACCUUUACCUAUAUAUAUGGUCUUCCUUCCAGUUAUAAAAAAUGGUUUUCCUUAAAUGAUAACAGCUACUACUACAAGUGUAAGGAGGACAUUCCAUACAAAAAUACUCGUCACUAAAUACGGUUCAAUUAUUAUUCACUCCAUCGUGUAAUCAAAUUUGGGUUUUAAGAGUAAACUCGAUAGGUUAUAUUUUAAACAGGGAAUAGAGAAGUCUUGCCGUAAGGUGACAGUUAGCUGAAAAGUAGUCAAACUAGUGAUAUGCUUGAAGGACAUUAAGAAUGGCAAAUAUAUCAGAUAAUAUAAAUUCUUUGUGCUACCUUUUAUAAUCUUGCCUCCUUUGUGAUGUUCUUUCAGGUGCAACAAGACCUGGAAAAUGGUGUUGCUGGUGCUGUGUGUAUCCCGUAUGAUGCUGCUGGGAAAAUGGAGAUAAUUAUGUCUUUGGUCACUAAUGUUGAGGCAAUGAUUAAAACUGACUGCAAGAUCACUGCCUUGAAAGAGUUACAGGUGUACAUAUACUGAAGUGGCAGCAGAAUUGCACAGAGACUUUUGUUUGGUCGCACAAAACAUGAAGUCAUUUGAAAAUAUUUCUCUGGAUUUUUCGAUGCAACAGUAGGGUAAAUUUCUACCUUUCAGUGGGUUUUCAUAAUUUGGUCCUUUUUUUCAUUUGAAAUUACAGCGUCGUUAGGUAGAUUAUUCAUCAGAGAUCUAUCAAGAAGCGACAGCAGACAGCAGGUAACAUCCUGUUCAUUUUGUAUGAAAACAACUUACAAAAUGUGAGAUUUCUCGCUUUCUCUGUGAUAAAUCUCUAUUAGACCAAGAAACGGACAUCCUCCAGAUAAGCACGGGUUCUGGACAGUUAGAUCAUUUUCGGAGAUCUAACUAUGAGACGUGUCAUUCUGUUAACAUUUUCCAUAUAUGGUGCAGUAUUUUAACAUAAUAAAAGAACGUUGUGAGUUGAUCAAUCGUUUCUCUAGUAAAAAAAGUAGAGCCAAUCGAGUCUUAUACUGCAGCUCGUAUGUACUUUCUGUGUGUUACGAUUUAGUAUUUGUGUCAAUCAGUCUCCUUUCUCUUGUUGAAUUGAGAUGGUAUUAAGUUUUAUCUUAUGAAAACAAUUCCUUUGAGAUUGGUGCUUUCAUAGUUCCAUUUCUACUAUAAUGAGGUGAUUUGCAUGUUUUCUAUCCAUCUAAUCUUACAGCAGAUGGAAUAUAAACUCGCGAAAAAACAGUGAACACUUUGUUGAGGUACGACACUUCUACUCUUGCACCACUAACAGGAGAUCUCGAUAGAGUUUUGUAUGUUUAGCAUAUCAGUUCACUCUGAAGAAUUCAUUAUUUAUAUCUGUUUGAGCAAGAAUCUAUUUUUAGUUUGUAUAUCGUAAUUUGCCUGAUUUACUUAUUGUCAAAGUUCACUUUCUCGAGAUUCCAAUCCCUAUCGAGACUAGAAGGAAUGAAUAAGAAAGCAAAGGAAUCCUAUGAUAUUAUAUUAACAAGAGACAAUUUUUUUAUUUUUUUUUUACAAAAAAAAAAAAAGGUGAAAAGAAAUUGCAAAUCUUGUGUGGUACACAAAAAGAUUGGACAAAAUAGAAGUCUUUUUCUAACUAUUAUCUUUUCAUUUUUUUUCUAGUUUUUCAAUCAUAAUCAGCUCCACUUAUUGUUUCCCCUCUCAUACUGCAACAACUGGUAAGUUACAAGUCAACAGACAGAAACUUAUCAAUGAAAAAUAUUACUUAAUUUUUAUUUGUUUUAAAUGAAAUGAUUUAAGUUAUGUAUACAUUGUGCAAAGAUUUUUUUACAUUUUUAAUUAAAUUUUGAUAUGUGAUCAAGUAAUAUUUUUCGAGUUGCAAGUAUUUACCUAGUAAUUGACAGAUUGUGUAAAAAAAGACCCUUACACUUUGUUUGUAUCAUUAUUACCAUUGUUUCAUAAUGUAUCGUACUGUAUUGUACUCUAUUGUACUGUACGGUAGAUACGAUGUUUGAGUAGACUGUAUUUUUUGUUGUUUAAUAACAUUUUAAUUGUUUGGUUUGA